rnacentral:rRNA from 1 species
UGGUGGUAGGCUUAACACAUGCAGUCGUGCGAGAAGGUAUCUUCGGAUAUGAGUAGAGCGGCGGACGGGUGAGUAACGCGUAGGAAUCUACCUAGUAGAAGGGGAUAGCCCGGGGAAACUCGGAUUAAUACCGUAUACCUCCUUUGGGAGAAAGAGGGCCUCUCUUGAUGCUCUCGCUAUUAGAUGAGCCUGCGUAAGAUUAGCUUGUUGGUGAGGUAAUGGCUCACCAAGGCUACGAUCUUUAGCUGGUCUGAGAGGACGAUCAGCCACAUUGGGACUGAGACACGGCCCAGACUCCUACGGGAGGCAGCAGUGGGGAAUAUUGGACAAUGGGCGCAAGCCUGAUCCAGCCAUACCGCGUGUGUGAAGAAGGCUCUAGGGUUGUAAAGCACUUUAAGCAGGGAGAAAAAGUUAUAAGUUAAUACCUUAUAACCGUGAUGUUACCUGCAGAAUAAGCACCGGCUAAUUCCGUGCCAGCAGCCGCGGUAAUACGGAAGGUGCAAGCGUUAAUCGGAAUUACUGGGCGUAAAGCGCGCGUAGGUGGUUUGUUAAGUUGGAUGUGAAAGCCCUGGGCUCAACCUAGGAACUGCAUCCAAAACUAACUCACUAGAGUACGAUAGAGGGAGGUAGAAUUCAUAGUGUAGCGCUGGAAUGCGUAUAUAUUAUGAAGAGUCCCAGUGCCAGAAGGCGGCCUCCGGUAUCUGUACUGACACUGAGGUGCGAAAAGAUUGGAAAGCGAACAGGAAUAAGAAACCCGGGGAGGGCCACGC